rnacentral:rRNA from 1 species
ACGAACGCUGGCGGCGUGCCUAAUACAUGCAAGUUGAGCGCUGAAGGUUGGUACUUGUACCAACUGGAUGAGCAGCGAACGGGUGAGUAACGCGUGGGGAAUCUGCCUUUGAGCGGGGGACAACAUUUGGAAACGAAUGCUAAUACCGCAUAAAAACUUUAAACACAAGUUUUAAGUUUGAAAGAUGCAAUUGCAUCACUCAAAGAUGAUCCCGCGUUGUAUUAGCUAGUUGGUGAGGUAAAGGCUCACCAAGGCGAUGAUACAUAGCCGACCUGAGAGGGUGAUCGGCCACAUUGGGACUGAGACACGGCCCAAACUCCUACGGGAGGCAGCAGUAGGGAAUCUUCGGCAAUGGACGAAGGUCUGACCGAGCAACGCCGCGUGAGUGAAGAAGGUUUUCGGAUCGUAAAACUCUGUUGGUAGAGAAGAACGUUGGUGAGAGUGGAAAGCUCAUCAAGUGACGGUAACUACCCAGAAAGGGACGGCUAACUACGUG